rnacentral:rRNA from 1 species
UAACGCGUGAGGAACCUGCCUUUCAGAGGGGGACAACAGUUGGAAACGACUGGCUAAUACCGCAUGAAACAUUCGGAUCGCAUGGUUUGAAUGUCAAAGAUUUAUCGCUGAAAGAUGGCCUCGCGUCUGAUUAGCUAGUUGGUGAGGUAAAGGCUCACCAAGGCGACGAUCAGUAGCCGGACUGAGAGGUUGACCGGCCACAUUGGGACUGAGAUACGGCCCAGACUCCUACGGAAGGCAGCAG